CCCUCCCUUUCAUUUCUUCUUCUAAACCCAUCUCCCUCUCACUCCUCACUCACUCAAAUAGGGUCGAACAAGAAGAAGAAGAAUAUGGUAACCUGCAACUCGAUCGUGCCCUCCGAUGUGCGAUUCUCAGGUAGAAAGCUGACUGGCGUGCGAACCUCUUCCCUCUUGCGUGCAAACCUCUCCCAAGUAUUUCUUAAUGGAAUUGGACUCGAAGGAGAGAGUUGGGUUUAUGUUGGUGUCUUCGACCUUCAAAAUUGGGAUUUGAGAGCACACUGUUUGGGAUUUGUAUGGCUUUAAAAAUAACCGAUGUCUACCACGAGUGUCAAUGACAGCAACCAAAGUGGAUUAAGGUUUAUGAAUGUUAUAUGCAAAUGUCCUUAACCCAAAAAGGGCAUUGGUGUGAAUUUCAGAGUCUAGUUCAAACCCAAACAUGUUGUACUACUGCUGCCCUGAAGCACCAAGAGGAUGUCGAUUAUUCUCAUGAUGUGAACCUAUAGCUGCACCAAGACUUUUGCCA